CAGCAUAUUUUGUGAGCGCCCCGGCAAAGCAAACUUUACUGUAACUCAGGCACUUGUUGUUAUCUUCCGGAAGAGAAAGAAAGAUUUCCCACAAAAACAGGUUGCCAUGGUUUCUGGUGAUCCCUCUCCAUAGCCUGCCCUGGUUUAGCGUCAGUUAAAGGGAACAACUGUCUGCCUUUAUGUAACAUUCUGACUCCUGCUGCAUGUACAGCCUGUGGGAUUCCUCUGCUUAUUCCCCCUGCUACAUAGUCUAAGAGAGCUUCCAUUCCUAACAAACACGGAAUAAUGGCUUCCCUCUGUCAAGACAUAUGUACUUUCUGGUGCUCCUGCUGUCAGACGGAACGUGAACAAAAGAAUCAAACUCCUGUCAUGGCAGGGCAA